GAAAUGCGAUAAGUAAUGUGAAUUGCAGAAUUCAGUGAAUCAUCGAAUCUUUGAACGCACAUUGCGCCCGCCAGAAUUCUGGCGGGCAUGCCUGUUCGAGCGUCAUUUCAACCCUCGAGCUCCCCUUUCGGGGGGAGCCCGGCGUUGGGGACCCGGCGCUAACAACGCCGGCCCCGAAAUGGAGUGGCGGCCCGUCCGCGGCGACCUCUGCGUAGUAACAACCACGCGCACCGGGACCCGGGCGCGGCCACGCCGUAAAACACCCCACCUUCCGAAUGUUGACCUCGAAUCAGGUAGGAAUACCCGCUGAACUUAAGC
rnacentral:misc_RNA from 1 species